rnacentral:misc_RNA from 1 species
UACGGAGGAUCCAAGCGUUAUCCGGAAUCAUUGGGUUUAAAGGGUCCGUAGGCGGGAUGAUAAGUCAGUGGUGAAAGUCUGCAGCUCAACUGUAGAACUGCCAUUGAUACUGUUGUCCUUGAGUUACUGUGAGGUGGUUGGAAUAUGUAGUGUAGCGGUGAAAUGCAUAGAUAUUACAUAGAAUACCGAUUGCGAAGGCAGAUCACUAAUAAGAUACUGACGCUGAUGGACGAAAGCAUGGGGAGCGAACAGG